rfam:Rattus norvegicus chromosome 8, whole genome shotgun sequence.
GGGGAUUUAGCUCAGUGGUAGAGUGCUUGCCUAGCAAGCGCAAGGUCCUGGGUUCGGUCCCCAGCUCCG